rnacentral:rRNA from 1 species
AUGGCGCAGAAGCUCGUGAACAUCAUAAAGCAGAUGGAUCCGAGGGACCCUUUCAGAAUCGAGAUGACGGACAUGCUCAUCGAUAAGCUGUAUAAUAUGGGUGUAAUUCCAACAAAGAAGAGCUUGGUUAAAUGUGAGAAACUUUCAGUGAGCGCCUUCGCCAGGCGGAGACUUGCAACAAUUAUGGUGAAGCUCAAGUUUGCUGAACACCUUAAAGAGGCCGUCACCUACAUUGAACAGGGCCAUGUGCGUGUAGGCCCAGAGACGGUCACCGAUCCAGCCUUCCUUGUGACCAGGAACAUGGAGGAUUUCAUCACCUGGGUGGAUUCCUCAAAGAUCAAGAAGAAGAUCAUGGAGUAUAAUGGUGCAUUGGAUGAUUAUGAUGCCAUGAUUUAA